UGAUAGCUGGUUCUCCCCGAAAGCUAUUUAGGUAGCGCCUCGGACGAAUACCAUUGGGGGUAGAGCACUGUUUCGGCUAGGGGGUCAUCCCGACUUACCAAACCGAUGCAAACUCCGAAUACCAAUGAGUACUAUCCGGGAGACAGACUGCGGGUGCUAACGUCCGUAGUCAAGAGGAAAACAAUCCAGACCGCCAGCUAAGGCCCCAAAAUCAUAGUUAAGUGGGAAACGAUGUGGGAAGGCAUAGACAGCUAGGAGGUUGGCUUAGAAGCAGCCACCCUUUAAAGAAAGCGUAAUAGCUCACUAGUCGAGUCGGCCUGCGCGGAAGAUGUAACGGGGCUAAAACUAUGUGCCGAAGCUGCGGAUUUGACUUUUAGUCAAGUGGUAGGGGAGCGUUCUGUAAGCCGAUGAAGGUGUAUUGAGAAGUAUGCUGGAGGUAUCAGAAGUGCGAAUGCUGACGUGAGUAACGACAAAACGGGUGAAAAACCCGUUCGCUGAAAGACCAAGGGUUCCAGUCCAACGUUAAUCGGGGCUGGGUGAGUCGACCCCUAAGGCGAGGCCGAGAGGCGUAGUCGAUGGGAAAUUGGUUAAUAUUCCAAUACUUCUGUGUAAUGCGAUGAGAGGACGGAGAAGGUUAAGUCAGCCUGGCGUUGGUUGUCCAGGUGGAAGGCUGUAGGCAUGCAUCUUAGGCAAAUCCGGGGUGCUCUAUGCUGAGAGCUGAUAGCAAGCUGUACUUGUACAGUGAAGUGGCUGAUACCAUGCUUCCAGGAAAAGUCUCUAAGCUUCAGUUACACAGGAAUCGUACCCUAAACCGACACAGGUGGUCAGGUCGAGUAGACCAAAGCGCUUGAGAGAACUCUGCUGAAGGAACUAGGCAAAAUGGUACCGUAACUUCGGGAGAAGGUACGCUGCUGACGGUGAUUUCCCUUGCGGAAUGAGCUAUUGGCAGCCACAGAAACCAGGCCGCUGCAACUGUUUAUUAAAAACAUAGCACUCUGCAAACACGAAAGUGGACGUAUAGGGUGUGAUGCCUGCCCGGUGCUGGAAGGUUAAUUGAUGGGGUUAGCGUAAGCGAAGCUCUUGAUCGAAGCCCCAGUAAACGGCGGCCGUAACUAUAACGGUCCUAAGGUAGCGAAAUUCCUUGUCGGGUAAGUUCCGACCUGCACGAAUGGCGUAACGAUGGCCACACUGUCUCCACCCGAGACUCAGUGAAAUUGAAAUCGCUGUGAAGAUGCAGUGUACCCGCGGCUAGACGGAAAGACCCCGUGAACCUUUACUGCAGCUUGACAUUGAACUUUGACCUUACUUGUGUAGGAUAGGUGGGAGGCUUUGAAGUUGGAACGCUAGUUCCAAUGGAGCCGUCCUUGAAAUACCACCCUGGUAAUGUUGAGGUUCUAACUCUGUCCCGUUAUCCGGGACGAGGACCGUGUCUGGUGGGUAGUUUGACUGGGGCGGUCUCCUCCUAAAGAGUAACGGAGGAGUACGAAGGUGCGCUCAGACCGGUCGGAAAUCGGUCGUAGAGUAUAAAGGCAAAAGCGCGCUUGACUGCGAGACAGACACGUCGAGCAGGUACGAAAGUAGGUCUUAGUGAUCCGGUGGUUCUGUAUGGAAGGGCCAUCGCUCAACGGAUAAAAGGUACUCUGGGGAUAACAGGCUGAUACCGCCCAAGAGUUCAUAUCGACGGCGGUGUUUGGCACCUCGAUGUCGGCUCAUCUCAUCCUGGGGCUGAAGCAGGUCCCAAGGGUAUGGCUGUUCGCCAUUUAAAGAGGUACGCGAGCUGGGUUUAGAACGUCGUGAGACAGUUCGGUCCCUAUCUACCGUGGGCGUUGGAAAUUUGAGAGGAUCUGCUCCUAGUACGAGAGGACCAGAGUGGACGAACCUCUGGUGUACCGGUUGUCACGCCAGUGGCAUCGCCGGGUAGCUAUGUUCGGAAGGGAUAACCGCUGAAAGCAUCUAAGCGGGAAGCCUACCUCAAGAUAAGAUUUCCCUAGGAAUUUAUUCCUCUAAAGAGCCGUUCGAGACUAGGACGUUGAUAGGUUGGGUGUGGAAGCACGGUGACGUGUGAAGCUGACCAAUACUAAUUGCUCGUGAGGCUUGACU
rnacentral:rRNA from 1 species